AUCACCCACUCGUUGCAUGAGGCCGUGGCUCUGCGGAGACUGAGAGCCGGGGUCUCGGAGCCCUUUUGGGAGGACAGAUGGGGAUCUUUCCUGCCACUCAGAGUCCCUGCCUCGUAGCAGUGCCUGGGCAUCCUCGUGAAGUUAUUCUCCAUGACUCUCAUCUCCCUGGAAAUUCUUAAAUGUCAGUGAUUGCUCGGUAAACAUAAGCCCAGCCCCUAGGACGGUCUGUUUCCCUGGCUGUGGGUUGGAUGGUGAAGAUCAAGGCCGAUCUUCUGCAUCCCAGCAGAAAGAGCCCAGAAUUCAAGGCGGAUUUCUUGUGUGUCCCGAGGAAGGCGGCAACAUCGCAUUCCAUUUCCGGGUGUAGGGCAGCAACGCCGUGGUGAUGAGCAGCUUCCAGGAAGGGGAUGGAGGGAGGCAAGAGAGCUUCUUCCCACCCUUUUGUGCCAGGACAGCCGUUGGAGCUGCGGAUUUUGGUGCUGGACAGUGAAUACCAGGUGCUUGUGAAUAACAGGCCCACCUACAGCUUCGGCCACUACCUGCCACCACAGUCUGUGAAAAUGAUGCAGCUGAAGGGGGAUGUGCUGGCUGCGGUGGAAGUAUGCUGAGGGGCAGAGGACCAGGCAAUGCAGAUGCCUGCCUGUCACACUCUUUGAAAUGGAAAAGCUGAUUCUAAAACUCAUAUGGAAGUGAAAGGGACACCAAAUAGCCAAAAUAGCCUGGAUAAAGAAAGAACAAAUCUGAGGAUUCAAAUAUCUCACUUUCAAAACUUCCUACAAAGCGAUGCUAAGGGAUCUAAGGAAGAAAGCAUGACGUACAAGAACAGAUGGGCGAUGUCAGCAGAGAGACAGGAAUUCUAAGAAAGAAUCAGAGAGAAAGACUACAGGAGUUCCCUGGUGGCUCAGCAGGUUAAGGAUCUGGUGUCACUGCUGUGGC